GAUGAACGCUAGCGGGAGGCCUAACACAUGCAAGCCGAGCGGUAUUGUUUCUUCGGCAAUGAGAGAGCGGCGUACGGGUGCGUAACACGUGUGCAACCUGCCUUUAUCUGGGGGAUAGCCUUUCGAAAGGAAGAUUAAUACUCCAUAAUAUAUUGAACGGCAUCGUUUAAUAUUGAAAGCUCCGGCGGAUAGAGAUGGGCACGCGCAAGAUUAGCUAGUUGGUGAGGUAACGGCUCACCAAGGCGAUGAUCUUUAGGGGGCCUGAGAGGGUGAUCCCCCACACUGGGACUGGGCCACGGACCCAACGCCGGCGGGAGGCGGGGAUGAGGGAUAUUGGGACAAGGGCGGAAGCCUGAACCGCCCACCCCGGGAGAAGGGCCACGGCCCUGUGGGGUUUAAACUUCUUUUAUAAAGGGAAAAACCUCCCCCAGUGGGGGUAGCGAAGGGAACUAAACAAAAAAGCACCGCCUAACCCGGG
rnacentral:rRNA from 1 species